UUUGUCCCCACUUCACCUUGCGGUGUACCUGACCUCAGCUCAGGUGGUGUGUGAGAAACAGAGAAUAAGUUGGAGUAGUUCACAGAGUGUCUAAGAAGAAAAUACAAUGAAAGACUGCAGCUGUCUGUCAGAAAGAACAGGCAAAGAAGACUUCAUGAAAUAAUGCAGGAAAAGGUGCAAGCAAACCAAAACCCCGAACAAGCCAUCUGUUCCCAGCGGAAACAGGACUGAGCCGCUGCGACCUCUGAAAUGGUCUCCCUGCAACCAUUCAGGACACACCGAGCCUGCGCUGAACCGGACCACGAUCGGACAGAGACUUUGGGACCUGGACUGCAAAUUACUGCCGCUUAACACAACUUUUAUAAAACUUGCUUAGCCGCACUCUCUAGUUCAGUGAGAAAGGGCCCCAGAGCUGGUGCAGACUGGAAAGAUAAGGGAGUUACAAGCAGUUUGCAUUCCUGUGCUUCACACUCCAGGAGGGAGGAUGUCAAGGCUUUGAAAUAAGGCCUGCUUGGGCGCCAGGACCUUGGGAAACAAAGCCUCCCCUCACUGCUGAAACAGUGUUAAUUAGGGGGGGGGUCUGGAUUAUAUCCUCCUCGUCAGGACCUUGGAAGAUAACACCUACUGUCACUGCUGGGGCAGUGCUAAUUGCUGGAACAACACCUGUUUGUCAGGGCCCUGAGAAAGAAGGGCAGAACCCGAGGAAUCAACACAUUUGUCAGCAGAAACCGCGACAGUAAAGAUAAGGGAGAAAAGCAGCCUGCCUGGGAACAACGAUGAGACCCAAUAGGGAGCAGGAGACCCCAGACCCAAAAAUUACUAUUGGUCUGAACUACCGCGUGAGGGGUGGGAAACUUAAUUUGAAAAGGCUAUAAUUGCCCAGGGAUUUCUUUGUUCGGGGUCCCUCUUUGGAGGCACCCAACUCGAGCUGUAACUACUGCAUGCGUGUCAUUACAAUUUAUUUAUUUAAUUUGCCUUGAUUUGGCUCCAAACUUUUCAGCGGGAACCUAGGGUCAGACCCUGCUCGAGUUGUAAUUACUGCACGCGCAUCGCUAAAAUUUACACCCAGGGUGAAGGGGACCAACGGGACGCCGCUGGAUCCACGGGUGGUGAUAUCUCUUUCUCUCUCCCCCUUUUUUCUCUCUCUCUUUCUCUCUCUCCUCCCCUUCGCCUUUCCCCACCUUUAUUCCCCACUCAGUGGAAAAGAAAGUUAAAAGGUUGUACGAUAUU